UACGUAGGUGGCAAGCGUUGUCCGGAAUUAUUGGGCGUAAAGCGCGCGCGGGCGGUCCUUUAAGUCUGAUGUGAAAGCCCACGGCUCAACCGUGGAGGGUCAUUGGAAACUGGGGGGACUUGAGUGCAGGAGAGAAGAGUGGAAUUCCACGUGUAGCGGUGAAAUGCGUAGAGAUGUGGAGGAACACCAGUGGCGAAGGCGACUCUUUGGCCUGUAACUGACGCUGAGGCGCGAAAGCGUGGGGAGCAAACAGG
rnacentral:rRNA from 1 species